UACGUAGGGUGCAAGCGUUAUCCGGAAUUAUUGGGCGUAAAGAGCUCGUAGGCGGUUUGUCGCGUCUGCUGUGAAAACUGGAGGCUCAACCUCCAGCCUGCAGUGGGUACGGGCAGGCUAGAGUUCGGGUAGGGGAGACUGGAAUUCCUGGUGUAGCGGUGAAAUGCGCAGAUAUCAGGAGGAACACCGGUGGCGAAGGCGGGUCUCGUGGGCAAUAACUGACGCUGAGGAGCGAAAGCGUGGGGAGCGAACAGG
rnacentral:rRNA from 1 species